AUUGAACGCUGGCGGCAUGCUUUACGACAUGCAAAGUCGAACGGUAACAGGCCGCAAGGUGCUGACGAGUGGCGAACGGGUGAGUAAUGCAUCGGAACGUGCCCAGUCGUGGGGGAUAACGCAGCGAAAGCUGCGCUAAUACCGCAUACGAUCUAUGGAUGAAAGCGGGGGACCGUAAGGCCUCGCGCGAUUGGAGCGGCCGACAUCAGAUUAGGUAGUUGGUGGGGUAAAGGCUCACCAAGCCAACGAUCUGUAGCUGGUCUGAGAGGACGACCCAGCCACACUGGAACUGAGACACGGUCCAGACUCCUACGGGAGGCAGCAGUGGGGAAUUUUGGACAAUGGACGCAAGUCUGAUCCAGCCAUUCCGCGUGCAGGAUGAAGGCCCUCGGGUUGUAAACUGCUUUUGUACGGAACGAAAAGGUUUCUAUUAAUACUAGGAGCUCAUGACGGUACCGUAAGAAUAAGCACCGGCUAACUACGUG
rnacentral:rRNA from 1 species